rnacentral:rRNA from 1 species
CCUACGGGAGGCAGCAGUGGGGAAUAUUGCACAAUGGGGGAAACCCUGAUGCAGCGACGCCGCGUGAAGGAAGAAGGAUUUCGGUAUGUAAACUUCUAUCAUCAGGGAAGAAAAUGACGGUACCUGACUAAGAAGCCCCGGCUAACUACGUGCCAGCAGCCGCGGUAAUACGUAGGGGGCAAGCGUUAUCCGGAUUUACUGGGUGUAAAGGGAGCGUAGGCGGUUUAGCAAGUCAGAAGUGAAAGCCCGGGGCUCAACUCCGGGACUGCUUUUGAAACUGUUGAACUAGAGUGCAGGAGAGGUAAAUGGAAUUCCUAGUGUAGCGGUGAAAUGCGUAGAUAUUAGGAGGAACACCAGUGGCGAAGGCGGCUUACUGGACUGUAAAUGACGCUGAGGCUCGAAAGCGUGGGGAGCAAACAGGAUUAGAUACCCGUGUAGUC